CGGUGCUUGCAUCACCUGACACCGGAUGACCGGAUUAAUCGGAUUAGCUCGCUCACUUGUGGACGAGCCCGCAUCUUCCGGGUCCCGUCCCUCCGUCACGGAGGU
rnacentral:ncRNA from 1 species